rnacentral:misc_RNA from 1 species
GAUGAAGAACGUAGUAAAAUGCGAUACUUGGUGUGAAUUGCAGAAUCCCGUGAACCAUCGAGUUUUUGAACGCAAGUUGCGCCCGAAGCCUUUUGGCCGAGGGCACGUCUGCCUGGGCGUCACGCAUCGCGUCGCCCCCCCACAAUUCUCCGUAAAGGGAACAUGUGUUUUGGGGGCGGAUAUUGGUCUCCCGUGCUCAUGGCGUGGUUGGCCGAAAUAGGAGUCCUUUCGAUGGACGCACGAACUAGUGGUGGUCGUAAAAACCCUCGUCUUUUGUUUCGUGCUGUUGCUCGCAAGGUAAACUCUUUAAAAACCCCAAUGCGUCGUCUCUUGACGACGCUUCGACCGCGACCCCAGGUCAGGCGGGACUACCCGCUGAGUUUAAGCAUAUCAAUAAGCGGAGGA